AGUGAACGCUGGCGGUAGGCCUAACACAUGCAAGUCGAACGGCAGCACAGUAAGAGCUUGCUCUUACGGGUGGCGAGUGGCGGACGGGUGAGGAAUACAUCGGAAUUUACUUUUUCGUGGGGGAUAACGUAGGGAAACUUACGCUAAUACCGCAUACGACCUACGGGUGAAAGCAGGGGAUCUUCGGACCUUGCGCGAUUGAAUGAGCCGAUGUCGGAUUAGCUAGUUGGCGGGGUAAAGGCCCACCAAGGCGACGAUCCGUAGCUGGUCUGAGAGGAUGAUCAGCCACACUGGAACUGAGGCACGGUCCAGACUCCUACGGGAGGCAGCAGUGGGGAAUAUUGGACAAUGGGCGCAAGCCUGAUCCAGCCAUACCGCGUGGGUGAAGAAGGCCUUCGGGUUGUAAAGCCCUUUUGUUGGGAAAGAAAAGCAGCAGGUUAAUACCCCGCUGUUCUGACGGUACCCAAAGAAUAAGCACCGGCUAACUUCGUG
rnacentral:rRNA from 1 species